rnacentral:rRNA from 1 species
GGCUCAGGAUGAACGCUAGCGACAGGCUAACACAUGCAAGUCGAGGGGCAGCACGGGAGUAGCAAUACAACUGGUGGCGACCGGCGCACGGGUGAGUAACGCGUAUGCAACCUACCUAUCAGGAGGGGAAUAACCCGGCGAAAGUCGGACUAAUACCGCAUAAAACAGGGGGCACCGCAUGGUGAUAUUUGUUAAAGAGAUUCGCUGAUAGAUGGGCAUGCGUUCCAUUAGGUAGUUGGUGAGGUAACGGCUCACCAAGCCGACGAUGGAUAGGGGAACUGAGAGGUUGGUCCCCCACACUGGUACUGAGACACGGACCAGACUCCUACGGGAGGCAGCAGUGAGGAAUAUUGGUCAAUGGGCGAGAGCCUGAACCAGCCAAGUCGCGUGGAAAAGGAAGAAGGAUCUAUGGUUACGUAAACUUCUUUUGCGAGGGGAAUAAAGUGCGGGACGUGUCCUGUUUUGUAUGUACCCUGAGAAUAAGGAUCGGCUAACUCCGUGCCAGCAGCAGC